rnacentral:rRNA from 1 species
CAGCACCUCAAGUGGUCAGGAUGAUUAUUGGGCCUAAAGCAUCCGUAGCCGGCGCUGUAAGUUUUCGGUUAAAUCUGUACGCUCAACGUACAGGCUGCCGGGAAUACUGCAGCGCUAGGGAGUGGGAGAGGUAGACGGUACUCGGUAGGAAGGGGUAAAUUCCUUUGAUCUAUUGAUGACCACCUGUGGCGAAGGCGGUCUACCAGAACACGUCCGACGGUGAGGGAUGAAAGCUGGGGGAGCAAACCGGAUUAGAGACCCGAGUAGUCC